rnacentral:lncRNA from 1 species
AUCUUGAAAACGGAAAAUAAAAACAGCAGACCUAUGAAGGUCAAAGGGGAAGUUAAGAAAAGCUGUAUCGAUUGUUGAGAUCUGGCGACUUGCUUAAAUUUCAUCAGCCUCACUUCUAUGGACUCUCAGGACAAACUGCAAUAGAGUCGCAUCCAGUUGAGACUUCUCCAAGGGCCGUGGGGUUGACAUCUGUGGUCUCAGAGCUGAUUACCAACUCCUACCACUGUUAACCCUCAUCCAGGAACAAGCUUAUGUCUUUAACAUUCUGAGUGGGCUUCAGCAUCCUUGCAUAUGUUCAAUUCUUAAAAACCUGUUGAAAUAAAAGAUCAGGAGACAUAGGAGGGAUGCCAGAAGACAGCGUGGCCUCACGUGUACCAGCUCUCUGCUCUCCUUUGCCUUGGGACGUUCCAUCCCUGGAAGUUUCCCUGCCCACAUCUUUGUAGAGAGUCCAUUCUCCAAGCUUCAGUGUGUCAUCUGUUAGGACUAUGACCCACCUGGUACAUUACCUCAGGGCAUUCAUUUCAGGCUCCUUCUAAGUGGUCAAGUUUUCAAGAUUGUUUUGGCUCUAGCAAAACAAGUUGGAACAUUCACAUCAUCCACUGCACUGAUGAGGAAACUGAAACAGAAAAUCCAGAGUAAAUUCCACCAGGCCACACAGCAAGGUCUGAUAGAGCCAGGAGAGACUUUAUGAAAUCCAGACUCUCACACUAAUGCUCUAUCAGCUAGACCUCCAUGUGAGUCUCCCCAAUGUAGGUAGGAAGCACUUUCCC